rnacentral:rRNA from 1 species
UGGGGAAUUUUGGACAAUGGGGGCAACCCUGAUCCAGCCAUGCCGCGUGAGUGAAGAAGGCCUUCGGGUUGUAAAGCUCUUUCGGCCGGAACGAAAUCGCGCGAAUGAAUAGUUCGCGUGGAUGACGGUACCGGAAGAAGAAGCACCGGCUAACUCUGUGCCAGCAGCCGCGGUAAUACAGAGGGUGCGAGCGUUAAUCGGAAUUACUGGGCGUAAAGCGCGCGUAGGCGGCUUUGCAAGUCGGGUGUGAAAUCCCCAGGCUUAACCUGGGAACUGCAUUCGAGACUGCAUUGCUAGAGUAUGGGAGAGGGAAGUGGAAUUUCCGGUGUAGCGGUGAAAUGCGUAGAUAUCGGAAGGAACAUCAGUGGCGAAAGCGACUUCCUGGACCAAUACUGACGCUCAUGUGCGAAAGCGUGGGGAGCAAAC